AAACCUACACUUGUUAACUUGUCCAUUUUUUUUGUUUCUCAACCUUUUUUUCAACUGUAAUCAAACCAUCAUUAUAAUUUAUUUAUGCAUGUUAAUUAAUUACCAGUUGAAAUUGUGAACAAACAAGGUUACUCAACCAUAUAAAUUGUUAACUAUUAAAUUGUGUGUGAAUAUUAAUACAUCUGCAAUUGAAAGAAAUGCCCUUUUCUGUUUCAUCUUUGUUUUCAACAUUUUAAUAAAGUCAACAAAUUGUUAAUUGUUAUAGUCACGAAGGUUUAAAAUUUUAUUAUGAUCAAUCUCGCAAAUUACUUUAUUGUAAUCUACAUUUGAUCAUAAAAAGACUUGUCCAAAUCUUUUUUAUAUCACAAAACCUGUAAAGUCUAUCUUUUAAGGCCUAUGGUACUCAGGCCCUAUCAGCCUGGUUUAGUGGGUUAACUCAUUCACCUACAGGAUACCAGAUGGAAAAGAAUCAAGGAAAGAAGUAAAUUGAAAGGAAACGUUGAAUGAGCCCAAUUUUGCUAAUUCAUUGGUUAAAAGGUGAACACAUAAAUCUGCCUGAAGCCUUUGGAAUGUGAUAUUUGAUUUCAAUGUUUAUUGAUAGUCCACUUUUAAUUUGACUUAAACCAAGUGACCACUAAAGAAGCAGGAAAUCACAAGGAUCAAAAUAAUGGAAUGGAAAGGAAAAAAGAUGUUGAAUGUCUUUUCAUUUUUUAUCCCAUGGAAGUAAACUUGACCAGCAACAGCAAAAACCCAUUCCUAAAACAUGAACAUCAAUCUAUUGAACCUCGACCAUUGAUCUUUUGUUAAGAUCAGAGAGUCAAUAAUUUUUCUUGCCAGUCUUUUCAUCUUCUUGUGCUUUCUGUUUCUUAUCCUUUUCCUCUUCCAUUGUCUCCUUAUUUUUUUUCAUCUUUCACCUUCUUCCUCAAACUUCAACUAUUUUAUCCAGGUUGGAUAAUUUAAUUUGAUGAUAAUGAUGAUAAACAUAACAACAUCGAUCAAUGAUCAACGUUAAGAUGAAAGGAUACAUAAAACAAGAAUACAGGAAAUUUAAUUGAUUAAUGUUGACUGAAUGCUCUCAGUUAACAAUUAUUGUUGGUGCGAGAAAAAAAAUACAACAAUUAAUUGAAAAAAGUCAACACAACCAUGAAUCAAUUAAGAUUAUUAUCAUUUCCUGGAAUCAUUCCUAGGCUUGGCAAUCCAGCUCAAGUAACCUGCUGAUCUCAAGCUCUACUCACCCAAAAACCUUGAAGAAUCAUGAAGUAAAGUUGGAAAUAAAAUCUGAGAUUCGGGAGAGAAAAAAAAUCACCAUUUCAACAAUAAACUGCCAAUGUUAACUCAA